rfam:Dipodomys ordii contig_20301, whole genome shotgun sequence.
GGUGGCUCAGUGGUAGAGCACUUGCCUUGCAUGCAUGAGGCCCUGGGUUCAAUUCCACAACACCA